AUUGAACGCUGGCGGCAUGCCUUACACAUGCAAGUCGAACGGUAACAGGUCUUCGGAUGCUGACGAGUGGCGAACGGGUGAGUAAUACAUCGGAACGUGCCCGAUCGUGGGGGAUAACGCAGCGAAAGCUGUGCUAAUACCGCAUACGAUCUACGGAUGAAAGCGGGGGAUCGCAAGACCUCGCGCGGACGGAGCGGCCGAUGGCAGAUUAGGUAGUUGGUGGGAUAAAAGCUUACCAAGCCGACGAUCUGUAGCUGGUCUGAGAGGACGACCAGCCACACUGGGACUGAGACACGGCCCAGACUCCUACGGGAGGCAGCAGUGGGGAAUUUUGGACAAUGGGCGCAAGCCUGAUCCAGCCAUGCCGCGUGCAGGAUGAAGGCCUUCGGGUUGUAAACUGCUUUUGUACGAACGAAAAGCUCUCUCUAAUACAGGGGUGAAUGACGGUACCGUAAGAAUAAGCACCGGCUAACUACGUGCC
rnacentral:rRNA from 1 species